AACACAAUAAGUAUUCCACCUGGGGAGUACGACCGCAAGGUUGAAACUCAAAGGAAUUGACGGGGGCCCGCACAAGCAGUGGAUUAUGUGGUUUAAUUCGAAGCAACGCGAAGAACCUUACCUGGGCUUGACAUCCAACUAACGAAGCAGAGAUGCAUCAGGUGCCCUUCGGGGAAAGUUGAGACAGGUGGUGCAUGGUUGUCGUCAGCUCGUGUCGUGAGAUGUUGGGUUAAGUCCCGCAACGAGCGCAACCCUUAUUGCUAGUUGCUACGCAAGAGCACUCUAGCGAGACUGCCGUUGACAAAACGGAGGAAGGUGGGGACGACGUCAAAUCAUCAUGCCCCUUAUGUCCAGGGCUACACACGUAAUACAAUGGCGUUCAACAAAGGGAAGCAAAGCCGCAAGGCGGAGCAAAUCCCCAAAAGGCGUCCCAGUUCGGAUCGUGGGCUGCAACCCGCCCACGUGAAGUCGGAAUUGCUAGUAAUCGCGGAUCAGCAUGCCGCGGUGAAUACGUUCCCGGGCCUUGUACACACCGCCCGUCACACCAUGGGAGUCGGUAACACCCGAAGUCGGUAGUCUAACAGCAAUGAGGACGCCGCCGAAGGUGGGAUUGAUGACUGGGGUG
rnacentral:rRNA from 1 species